AAGUCGUAACAAGGUUUCCGUAGGUGAACCUGCGGAAGGAUCAUUAACACGUAUCCAACGUUAAAACCCCCUGUGAACCUUCAUUGUGGACCCCCAUUCCGUUAGAACGCGGCAAUCCCUGGUAAAUCAUCGCCGAACAGUUUUGAUUCAGGGACCUCUGCAUGGUUUGGGCAGCUCCGCGAGGCAAGUGGCCUGGCAUUCGUAGAGGCCGACACGGCCGGCGACCGGGUCACUGGGCUCUGCCCCCCUAUCACCUUUGCAUGAAACCGGGCCUGCGCUUAAUUGUGCGGCCACCAAACUUCGAACAACUGUUAACAAUGGAUAUCUUGGUUCUC
rnacentral:misc_RNA from 1 species